CACUCUGAUAUUCCUAAAUGGCUUCAGUUCAGCAAUCGUGGGCAUGCUGAGGGGAUAAAGGAAUACCAUAUGUCCUGCUCACCUCCGUGGUCUGCUGUGGACGUAUACAUCAUUGUCAUCCUGAUUAUAAGAUCUCACAGAAUUUAUCUCAGUGCCUUUCAGCUUUCAUCUUUCUUCCUGUCUUUUCUGACCUAUAAACAACUGGGAAUAUAAACUUAGAAAUAUAUAAGAAUAGUACUAAAGUGAGGCCUCUAUGGAAAAGGAAUACAAGAUAUUUUUGUAUAGUUCUGUGGCAUCCCAAAUGUGAAGUUUUAGACAUACUCAGUCAAGAAUCACAUAAAAAUGGGGACACAUUCUGAGACUCAGUAUCUGGUCACUUCAUAAUUCUGUGUGCCUCUAUACAAUGGAUUUUCACAAACAUGGAUGACACAAUCCACCACUCAAAACUCAAAAUGAUCCAUUUAUGCAAACAAGGAACAUGCUAAGCAAAAGACAAAAGAGGAUUAUGCAAGCCAGCACAGCAUACAGUAUUCACGUAUGUAUUUUAUAGAGCACCAUAAAGACAGAGCCAGGGCAAGCGAGAGCCGGAUGGGCACUGGGCAACUCUGUGCUUCAUGGAGGAAAAUCAAGUAAACUUGGGCAAAGGAGAUCCUAAGAAGCCGAGAGGCAAAAUGUCCUCGUAUGCAUUCUUUGGGCAAACCUCCCAGGAGGAACCCAAGAAGAAGCACCCGAUGCUUCUGUCAACUUCUUAGAGUUCUCUUAAGUGCUCAGAGAGGUGGAAGACCAUGUCUGCUAAAGAAAAGCGGAAAAUUGAAGAUAUGGCAAACAAAGUCUGACAUGGCUCGUUAUGAAAGAGAAAUGAAAACCUACAUCCCCAAAAGGGGAGACCAAAAGAAGUUCAAGGACCCCAGUGCCCCCAGGGGCCUCCUUCGGCCUCUUCUUGUUCUGUUUUGACUACUGCCCAAAAAUCAAAGGCGAGCAUCUUGGCUUAUCCGUUGGUGAUGUCACAAAGAAACUAGGAGAGAUGUGGAACAGCACUGCCGCGGAUGACACAGCAGCCCUAGGAGAAGAAGGGCGCCAAGCUGAAGGAGAAGUACGAGAAGGAUAUUGCUGCCUACAGAGCUAAAGGAAAAUCUGAUGCAGCAAAAAAAGGGGGUGGUCAAGGCUGAAAAGAGCAAGAAAAAGAAGGAAGAGGAAGAGGAUGAGGAGGAUGAAGAGGAUGAGCAAGAGGAAGAAGAGGAAGACGAAGAGACAUAGGUCUGGGCUGCUCUUAACCUCCUCAAAGAAGCUUCUCCUUGCAGUAAUCAUUGGUUAAUACAGAGGCUCUGAAGUUGUCCAAGUGCUGAGAAAAUUAAUAUGCAAGGAAGUGCAGGCCGACAGGAACUGGAUGUAGAUCUCUCCUGAGAGACACACCCAGAAUACAGCAAAUACAGAGGCGAAUGCCAGCAGCAAACCACUGAACUGAGAACGGGAUCCCAGUUGAAGGAAUCAGAGAAAGAACUGAAAGAGCUUGAAGGGGCUCGAGACCCCAUAUGAACAACAAUGCCAAGCAACCAGAGCUUCCAGGGACUAAGCCACUACCUAAAGACUAUACAUGGACUGACCCUGGACUCUGACCUCAUAGGUAGCAAUGAAUAUCCUAGUAAGUGCACCAGUGGAAGGGGAAGCCCUGGGUCCUGCUAAGACUGAACCGCCAGUGAACGUGAUU